rnacentral:rRNA from 1 species
UUGCUAAGUUUGAUGGCGACCGGCGCAUGGGUGAGUAACACGUAUCCAACCUACCCUUUACUCGGGGAUAGCCUUUCGAAAGAAAGAUUAAUACCCGAUAGCAUAAUGAUUCCGCAUGGUUUCAUUAUUAAAGGAUUCCGGUAAAGGAUGGGGAUGCGUUCCAUUAGGUUGUUGGUGGGGUAACGGCCCACCAAGCCUUCGAUGGAUAGGGGUUCUGAGAGGAAGGUCCCCCACAUUGGAACUGAGACACGGUCCAAACUCCUACGGGAGGCAGCAUG